GGGCGAGUGGCGAAAUGGCAGACGCGCUGGCUUCAGGUGCCAGUGUUCGAAAGGACGUGGGGGUUCAAGUCCCCCCUCGCCCACCA
rnacentral:tRNA from 1 species